rnacentral:rRNA from 1 species
AUUGAACGCUGGCGGCAGGCCUAACACAUGCAAGUCGAACGGUAACAGGAAGCAGCUUGCUGCUUCGCUGACGAGUGGCGGACGGGUGAGUAAUGUCUGGGAAGCUGCCUGAUGGAGGGGGAUAACUACUGGAAACGGUAGCUAAUACCGCAUAAUGUCGCAAGACCAAAGAGGGGGACCUUCGGGCCUCUUGCCAUCGGAUGUGCCCAGAUGGGAUUAGCUUGUUGGUGGGGUAACGGCUCACCAAGGCGACGAUCCCUAGCUGGUCUGAGAGGAUGACCGGCCACACUGGAACUGAGACACGGUCCAGACUCCUACGGGAGGCAGCAGUGGGGAAUAUUGCACAAUGGGCGCAAGCCUGAUGCAGCCAUGCCGCGUGUAUGAAGAAGGCCUUCGGGUUGUAAAGUACUUUCAGCGGGGAGGAAGGGAGUAAAGUUAAUACCUUGGCUCAUUGACGUUACCCGCAGAAGAAGCACCGGCUAACUCCGUG